ACUUACCUGCGAUUCCCGUAUACUCAUACUGUUUCAAACCUUUGAUUGUUCUAAGGGAGUUCAACAUUUAGUCGCGGAUAACAUGCCUUCUGGCCAGAAGGACGUUAAAUGCUUCUAUGAGAGCACCCACCUGCUAAGUGCGGGUCUUGGAACACUUGAGUUACGGUUGAGUGGGGAGUAC
rfam:Bacillus koreensis strain DSM 16467 scaffold3, whole genome shotgun sequence.